rnacentral:rRNA from 1 species
UACGUAGGGUGCGAGCGUUGUCCGGAAUUAUUGGGCGUAAAGAGCUCGUAGGCGGUUUGUCGCGUCGGCCGUGAAAACUUGGGGCUUAACCCCAAGCUUGCGGUCGAUACGGGCAGACUUGAGUUCGGCAGGGGAGACUGGAAUUCCUGGUGUAGCGGUGAAAUGCGCAGAUAUCAGGAGGAACACCAGUGGCGAAGGCGGUUGCCUGGAGCUUUGCUGACGCUGAGGCGCGAAAGCGUGGGGAGCGAUCCGG